UCCAGUUUUUAUGACACUGAAUACAUAGAGGGCACAGGAGAUAAGAGAGUAGAUUGAAUCACUGCCUUUGUUAAAGGUGUCUUUGUUCAUGUAUUGUGGGAUGAUUUUUAUCACUGGUCUCCCCAUGAAAAGACAAGGUAUGUUUGUGCUGCACGGCAGUUUGCUUAGCUCAGUGCACACUGCAGGUGGCUGAGAGAAGAGAAGAGUUUGUAAUGUGGGAAUACUAGAAACUGUUUCUUGUACAAGAGAUAUUCCUAGAAAGGCAAUGGCUUGCACUGUAAGAUUGUCAGAGUUGGGACUGCAGCGACCAGUUGCUGGAGACAGGAUUGGAGGAACAGAGUCUUGUUUUGGGAUGCAAUUUCUGGUGAUUGGGUCUCAAACACAACCAGUUGUAUUUGUGUGCCUUGGGAAGAUUACAAAGAGGUGCUUUGUGAGGGGAUGCAGCUGCUGAAAUCCGACUAGAUCCAGCUGAAGAGAGAAGGGAGCAGGUGGGUCAACAACGCCACCCUGCUGUUCCCAGAAUAUCAGACUGCAGAGCUGUGCCUCCCUCCCCCACACAGGCACACACACACCCCAACACGUGCACACAUAUCCUCAGAGAACACCCCAACCUAGCACACACACAAACAUUAUACCAUGUCAAAAUAAAAACACAGUAACACCCACAAAACAGCAAUACAACAAUAUGCACACGUCAAAGGACUGCCUCAGUGGAAAUGCUGCCCACUCAAACAAGUGUGUAGAACAAGAAACAUUUAUACGAUGUGAAAAUGAUGGCAGAAAGUUACAGAGCUGCACAAGUCUAACACACAAACACUGUGCUGCUUACUAAGAUUUUAUGUUAAUUUCAGGUUGCAUCCCUGUUUGCUUAUUUUGUAAUGUCAUUAACAGCAUCAAAGACAAGGGCAGUUCAAAAGUGCUGCAGAAAGCAGAGGGAGAUCCUGUCAACUUAGUGAAGUUAACAUGUUAACGGGUCAGGAUGUUGCCAAAAUUUUGGAUUUCUACAUCACAGUAGGGACAUUGGUAAGAUGACCCUCAUCCGACUUUGUGCAGCUCAGAAAGAGGUGGUAGGAGAUGGAGAGGGGAAAGGAAUGAAAGAAAGGAGAGGAAGUCAUGCAGGCGAGUGUUCUUGAUCUUGUUGAGGCAGAUCAGGUGUCAUACCAUACUCUCUGCAGGGGAUGUGAUGCUGGACCAAAGUGAUAGAAAAUACACAGAUACAGAUGUGCUUUGAUAUUGAUUUUUAGCCAUAAGAAAUCGUUGUAAUGCAGAACUGGAGACAGACUAAAGAGUUACUGAACUUGAAAAUCAAAAACAACCUAUCUAUUUUGCUCUGUCGGCUACAUGUACUGCCUUACUCAACUUCAUACAAGCUGCUUCUUUCUCAUGAGCAUUCUCCAUCGAAGAACGAGCCAAAUUGUGGAUGAAUUUUUGUAUCAACUUUGCAUAUGUUUUCUCUCUGCCUUCAUGUUUCAUAAACAAGCUUUUUGAUAAUCUUAUAAGAAAUAUGCUAAUGGGAUUCAGAGUUCAGGUAUACAGGAAACUGUGGGCUGUUGGAAAAUAUUCUUCAGCUUUUUAAAUAUGUUUCUCCCACUGAAGUAGCUCUGUAUCCUUAAUGAGAGUUUUGAUACACAUGGCUCCCUCCCUCACACCUUAGAGUGCCCAUCCCCCUCUAUGCAUGCAACAAUUCAGCUACAUUGAUAAUAAGUUCUUCUGUCUCUCUCUGAAAAUGCUUGAAUGUUAUUUCAUAAAAAGGGCUGUUCCCUGAAAGAGCCCACUGUCCCAUACACUUAGUAUUCCUGUCUUGUGAUGCUUAAAGACAUCCCUGACACUAGAGAGUCCUGCAAGCUUGUUCUCAAGGAAAAAUCAGCAAACUUUAUCAGUGUUUAGCUACAAACAUUCACCUUGGGUAGUUCUUGUUUCAUGUAGGACUUACUAAUCAUAGGUGUGUCUCUUUGCAUGUGUGCAGCGUUUUUUUCUGUCGCCCUGAAGGCAAUCAGCUUCAUAUUUCUUUACUAUUUGUAUUUUUUUUUGCUUGAUGAUAGCAUAGCUUAGUUCCAGGUUCAUCAUUCAAAACUUCCAUUGACUUCUUUUUCUCUUGUAGACAAUAUUUCUACUGGUAAUUUGUCACUAUAAUCAUCCACGUGUACUUUUGUCUGUCACUUCUGAAUGACUUCAGUUGAUUUCUGCCUUCCACCAUUUGUGUAGCUAAAGCAGGGGUAUCAAACAGACGGCCCGAGGGCCAAAACCGGCCCACCAGAGGGUCCAAUUCAGCCCGCAGGAUGACUGAGUUACAGAGAAGACACUGAACAUUGUGCAAUAUAAUGUCAGUUAGCAGCUUUCGUGUGACGUUGUUUGGUUGAACCCUAUUGAUCAUGAAUUGCUACAACUUUUAUGUAUUUUUUAAUGUAUAAAUUUAAUACAUUUACAUGGCAGGGGGAUUACUUAACCUUCUUCCUUAAUAGUUACUACUUUAGUUUAUAUGAAGUGAUGGUCAGGAAUUCUACACAGAUGUGGAAAUGAAUGUACAUUUAAAAUAAUUUCUACAUCUUGAUGACAAGCUGUUUUGGUCAUAAAGAAAAACACUAUAUCGUUCAGUUCCAGAUACCUGUGACUAAAUGUUUUGUGCUUUUGCAGGUACAUUGUGAUCUCUAAGUUGUAAUGCACAAAUGAUAAAUCAAGGAAUAUUGUUGUUGAAAUUGCACUUAUUUGUCUUAAGAGAUUUCACAUUGUUCAUGAUUUGUAAAAAGAUAUUUCAAUAAAUGUGAACAUUUUGGGAAUGUAUUUGAACUUUU